CCAAUAGCGUAUAUUAAAGUUGUUGCAGUUAAAAAGCUCGUAGUUGAAUUUCGGGAUUGACGUGAUGGUCAUGCCUUAAGGGGUAUGAACUGUCACUGUUGAUUUCUCACCUUCUGGAGAAACUUGAUGUCCUUUAUUGGGUGUCUUGCGGAUCCAGGACCUUUACCUUGAAAAAAUUAGAGUGUUUAAAGCAGGCAUUU
rnacentral:rRNA from 1 species